GAUGAACGCUGGCGGCGUGCCUAAUACAUGCAAGUCGAGCGAACGGACGAGAAGCUUGCUUCUCUGAUGUUAGCGGCGGACGGGUGAGUAACACGUGGAUAACCUACCUAUAAGACUGGGAUAACUUCGGGAAACCGGAGCUAAUACCGGAUAAUAUUUUGAACCGCAUGGUUCAAAAGUGAAAGACGGUCUUGCUGUCACUUAUAGAUGGAUCCGCGCUGCAUUAGCUAGUUGGUAAGGUAACGGCUUACCAAGGCAACGAUGCAUAGCCGACCUGAGAGGGUGAUCGGCCACACUGGAACUGAGACACGGUCCAGACUCCUACGGGAGGCAGCAGUAGGGAAUCUUCCGCAAUGGGCGAAAGCCUGACGGGGCAACGCCGCGUGAGUGAUGAAGGUCUUCGGAUCGUAAAACUCUGUUAUUAGGGAAGAACAUAUGUGUAAGUAACUGUGCACAUCUUGACGGUACCUAAUCAGAAAGCCACGGCUAACUACGUGCCAGCAGCCGCGGUAAUGCGUAGGUGGCAAGCGUUAUCCGGAAUUAUUGGGCGUAAAGCGCGCGUAGGCGGUUUUUUAAGUCUGAUGUGAAAGCCCACGGCUCAACCGUGGAGGGUCAUUGGAAACUGGAAAACUUGAGUGCAGAAGAGGAAAGUGGAAUUCCAUGUGUAGCGGUGAAAUGCGCAGAGAUAUGGAGGAACACCAGUGGCGAAGGCGACUUUCUGGUCUGUAACUGACGCUGAUGUGCGAAAGCGUGGGGAUCAAACAGGAUUAGAUACCCUGGUAGUCCACGCCGUAAACGAUGAGUGCUAAGUGUUAGGGGGUUUCCGCCCCUUAGUGCUGCAGCUAACGCAUUAAGCACUCCGCCUGGGGAGUACGACCGCAAGGUUGAAACUCAAAGGAAUUGACGGGGACCCGCACAAGCGGUGGAGCAUGUGGUUUAAUUCGAAGCAACGCGAAGAACCUUACCAAAUCUUGACAUCCUUUGACAACUCUAGAGAUAGAGCUUUCCCCUUCGGGGGACAAAGUGACAGGUGGUGCAUGGUUGUCGUCAGCUCGUGUCGUGAGAUGUUGGGUUAAGUCCCGCAACGAGCGCAACCCUUAAGCUUAGUUGCCAUCAUUAAGUUGGGCACUCUAAGUUGACUGCCGGUGACAAACCGGAGGAAGGUGGGGAUGACGUCAAAUCAUCAUGCCCCUUAUGAUUUGGGCUACACACGUGCUACAAUGGACAAUACAAAGGGCAGCGAAACCGCGAGGUCAAGCAAAUCCCAUAAAGUUGUUCUCAGUUCGGAUUGUAGUCUGCAACUCGACUACAUGAAGCUGGAAUCGCUAGUAAUCGUAGAUCAGCAUGCUACGGUGAAUACGUUCCCGGGUCU
rnacentral:rRNA from 1 species